rnacentral:rRNA from 1 species
UACGUAGGUGGCAAGCGUUUGUCCGGAUUUAUUGGGUUUAAAGGGUGCGUAGGCGGCUUUGUAAGUCAGUGGUGAAAUAUGGCAGCUCAACUGUCAAGGUGCCAUUGAUACUGCGGAGCUUGAGUACAGAUGAGGUAGGCGGAAUUGACGGUGUAGCGGUGAAAUGCUUAGAUAUCGUCAAGAACACCUAUAGCGAAGGCAGCUUACCAGGCUGUAACUGACGCUGAGGCACGAAAGUGUGGGGAUCAAACAGG